GUGGGGAAUAUUGGACAAUGGGCGCAAGCCUGAUCCAGCAAUGCCGCGUGUGUGAAGAAGGUCUUCGGAUCGUAAAGCACUUUCGACGGGGACGAUGAUGACGGUACCCGUAGAAGAAGCCCCGGCUAACUUCGUGCCAGCAGCCGCGGUAAUACGAAGGGGGCUAGCGUUGCUCGGAAUUACUGGGCGUAAAGGGCGCGUAGGCGGCUCUGUGAGUCAGGCGUGAAAUUCCUGGGCUUAACCUGGGGACUGCGCUUGAUACUGCAGGGCUUGAGGCCGAGAGAGGGUGGUGGAAUUCCCAGUGUAGAGGUGAAAUUCGUAGAUAUUGGGAAGAACACCGGUGGCGAAGGCGACCACCUGGCUCGGUACUGACGCUGAGGCGCGACAGCGUGGGGAGCAAACAGGAUUAGAUACCCAAGUAGUCC
rnacentral:rRNA from 1 species